GAUGAAGAACGUAGCGAAAUGCGAUACGUAAUGUGAAUUGCAGAAUUCAGUGAAUCAUCGAGUCUUUGAACGCACAUUGCGCCCCCUGGUAUUCCGGGGGGCAUGCCUGUCCGAGCGUCAUUGCUGCCCUCAAGCACGGCUUGUGUGUUGGGCCUCCGUCCUCCUCCCGGGGGACGGGCCCGAAAGGCAGCGGCGGCACCGCGUCCGGUCCUCGAGCGUAUGGGGCUUCGUCACCCGCUCUUGUAGGCCCAGCCGGCGCUUGCCGACACAUCAAUCUUUUUUCCAGGUUGACCUCGGAUCAGGUAGGGAUACCCGCUGAACUUAAGCAUAUCAAUAAGCGGAGGA
rnacentral:misc_RNA from 1 species